AUUGAACGCUGGCGGCAUGCCUAACACAUGCAAGUCGAGCGGAUGAAGGGAGCUUGCUCCUGGAUUCAGCGGCGGACGGGUGAGUAAUGCCUAGGAAUCUGCCUGGUAGUGGGGGAUAACGUCCUGAAACGGGCGCUAAUACCGCAUACGUCCUGAGGGAGAAAGUGGGGGAUCUUCGGACCUCACGCUAUCAGAUGAGCCUAGGUCGGAUUAGCUAGUUGGUGGGGUAAAGGCCUACCAAGGCGACGAUCCGUAACUGGUCUGAGAGGAUGAUCAGUCACACUGGAACUGAGACACGGCCCAGACUCCUACGGGAGGCAGCAGUGGGGAAUAUUGGACAAUGGGCGAAAGCCUGAUCCAGCCAUGCCGCGUGUGUGAAGAAGGUCUUCGGAUUGUAAAGCACUUUAAGUUGGGAGGAAGGGCAGUAAGUUAAUACCUUGCUGUUUUGACGUUACCAAAAGAAUAAGCACCGGCUAACUUCGUG
rnacentral:rRNA from 1 species